GAAAGUGAUUGACUUUUGAAUAUUGAUUUUUAUAUCCUGCAACCUUGCUAUAAUCACUUAUUAAUUCCAGGAGUUUGUUUUUGUUGAUUCUUUUGGAUUUUCUGCAUAGGUGAUCAUAUCAUUUGCAAACAAAGACAGUUUUAUUUCUUCCUUCCUAAUCAGCAUACUAUUUAUUUCCUUGUCUUGUGUUAUUUCAUUAGCUAGACCUUCCCACAGGUCUAGCUUUGUUGAAAAGCAGUGCUGAAAAAUGAUAUCUUUGUUCCUGAUCUCAGCAGAAAAAUUUGUUUCUCAUGAGCAUUAUGUGAGCUUUAGGGUUUCUGUGAAUAUUCUUUAUCAAGUUUAUGAAGCUCCUCUUGAUUCCUAGCUUACUGAGAGUUUUUAUUGAAUGGGUUUUGGAUUUUGUCAAAUGCUUUCAUCUAUUGAUAUGAUUUUGUGAUUUUUCUCUUUUAGCCUGUCAAUGUGAUAGAUUACAUUAAUUGAUUUUCAUGGGUUGAACCAGCCUUGCAUAUCUGGAAUAAAUCCCACUUAGUUGUGAGGUGUUCGCUGUGACCAUUAGGAUGAAGAGGAAAGAGAUCAUCCCCUUUCUACUCCUACAUCCCCAAGUGAAGAGGACAUGGAGUACAGCCA
rnacentral:lncRNA from 1 species